ACGCCUCCUCACAGCGAGAAUUGCCGCCUGACAUGUACGGCUCUCUGCCGUGGGGAAUAUACAUACAAAAUUCUCCUUGUAUCUGAUUUGAACGAGCCUCACAGUUCUCGCAGCAGCAUCGGUGUCGCCGGCAUGGCGGAGCCCCGCAUCAAGCAGCUCUGGCGUGCUGCGACGGAGGUACCGGAGGAUCAACGCAAUCACCUUCAGCACCUUUACGAAAGCAUCGAGCAGCUGUCGCGGCGGUGCCGUCACCUCGAAAACGCAAGCGAGCGCAAGUCUGUCGUCAUCGAAGACCUCCGCGCACACGUCGCGCGCCUGGAGGAGCUCUUUGGCAAGAGCCAGGGCGAGAUGGCCUACGCUCAGCAGCAGCUGGAGUUUGUCGUGAUGAGCUUAGAGAGUCAGCAUGGCAUCGUUGCCGAUCAUACCGAACAGCUGCGCCUCUUCGCCGGCGAGUCCACCCAUCGGGGCUACGCCACCACCCAAGGCAACGCUCAACGCUCGCUCCUGCUGCUCAUGGGCAACUGGCUCUACACACCUGUGGUGCACUUCGCCAAGGGCGUGUACACACUCUUUUCCCCCAUCAUCACCACCGCGCAGUCCCUCUCUCUGCUGAACUCCGACGUCCUGCACCGCAACGCCAGCGAGCGCCUUCGCUGGGGUGCGGCGAGGAAGGGCGACCUACUCGGCAUGCUGCAGCGUGGCGCGCUGGACCCCGACUCGGCUGCUAACCGAAAGUGACGGCGGGCUACCGCGUGUGUGUCGCGUGCUUUUAUAUGUACCCUCCUGGACCACUUCCUCGCCCACGUGUGUGGUGCGAACAUCAGCAAAGGGCACACACGUGUGUGCGUCUCCGCUUUGCC
rnacentral:misc_RNA from 1 species